rnacentral:rRNA from 1 species
CAUGAAGUAGCAAUACUUUGAUGGCGACCGGCAAACGGGUGCGGAACACGUACACAACCUUCCUUUAAGUGGGGAAUAGCCCAGAGAAAUUUGGAUUAAUACCCCGUAACACAACGAAGUGGCAUCACUUUGUUGUUAUAGUUUCGGCGCUUAAUGAUGGGUGUGCGUAUGAUUAGAUAGUUGGCGAGGUAACGGCUCACCAAGUCUACGAUCAUUAGCUGAUGUGAGAGCAUGAUCAGCCACACGGGCACUGAGACACGGGCCCGACUCCUACGGGAGGCAGCAGUAAGGAAUAUUGGUCAAUGGACGCAAGUCUGAACCAGCCAUGCCGCGUGAAGGAUUAAGGUCCUCUGGAUUGUAAACUUCUUUUAUAUGGGACGAAAACAGACCUUUCUAGGUCCUUUGACGGUACCAUAUGAAUAAGCACCGGCUAACUCCGUGCCAGCAGCCGCGGUAAUACGGAGGGUGCAAGCGUUAUCCGGAUUCACUGGGUUUAAAGGGUGCGUAGGCGGGUAGGUAAGUCAGUGGUGAAAUCCUGGAGCUCAACUCCAGAACUGCCAUUGAUACUAUCUAUCUUGAAUAUUGUGGAGGUAAGCGGAAUAUGUCAUGUAGCGGUGAAAUGCUUAGAUAUGACAUAGAACACCCAUUGCGAAGGCAGCUUACUACGCAUAUAUUGACGCUGAGGCACGAAAGCGUGGGGAUCAAACAGGAUUAGAUACCCUGGUAGUCCACGCCCUAAACUAUGGAUACUCGACAUGUGCG